CUCCCAUUCAUUAUUUUACCGACUCCUUCUUCCCCUCCGCCGCACCCCAGAUCAGACACAGCCACGGUGGGGACCGAGGCCACCUCCUCGCCACUGCCACCCCACCCCUCCAGCGCUCACCCCUGGGCGUGACAGCUUUGCGGGAGUCCAGUGCGUUUUCAUUUUGUCCCGUUUCUCUUUCCCACUUGAAAAGCUCUAGGAAACGUCGCGGGGCCUGCAAAUCUCUCACAACGUGCCUCUUUGGAGGAGUUCAGUUUCUGAACUUUCCAGAAGUUGCAAAGUUUCUCUCAGCACAGCCCUAGAUUGAAGGCUGCGAAGAACGAAGGAUAGACCUGCUAUAAAGGGCUUCUGCGUUGAUCGGGAUUCUCUGCCUCUCACUCCACCAAGGCCAGCACGCACAGCUGCUGAGGAGUAAAAGCUUAAUCCGCGAUGGCCUGCUGUGGUACCUAGGCCUGGGACGGCCCCACAGCAGCCCUGAUCCCAACAGGCCUACGAAGGAAUGGGAGGCAAGGAGGGAGCACGCUGCAGAUACUGGUCAACCGGUAAUCCUGGGCUUUACAGAAGAGAGAGGUCGCUCUACACCGCGGUGGCAGAGCCGGUGGGAUUUCUUGCAGGGAAGGAAAACUUUUCGAGCCUCCAGUAAGUUACACAUCGAAGAGACCAUGACCAUUUCCUGCCAGUCACUGCUGAGAACCUUGACCGAGCCCAAGUGCUUUCCACAGGAUGCUGAAGGCUACUGGUCAUUUACUAGCCAAAAUUGUUUCCUUUAUAAAACAGUCCUUCAAAUACCUUCAGAAAAUAAACAUUAAAGGAUUCUGCUUUCCCUCUUUUCCUACCAAUUUAUUAUUUAUUUUACAAUAAUCUACUGAAAAUGUGGAAAAAUAAAAUUGUUAUAUAUGCACAGUGCUAACUCGUUUGUGCUCAGGGCAACUAUGUUUGUGUACAGUCGUGUAGACAUGUGUGCAAACACUAACACAUUUCAUGUUGAGAUAAAUUGGAAAAUGUUCAGUGUAAAAUCUACCAAUAAAAGUAUGAGGUAUGAUCUAAAGAUACAGUGAAUAUUUAAAUGUAAAAAGAUUACAUUAAACAAUACAUGUUUUAACCCCCUCUAAAUCUACCCCCUUGCUUCAAAGACACAUAUGCCAUCGUUCUUGCUGUGUUCUAACGCAAUUAUGGAGUCCCC
rnacentral:lncRNA from 1 species